GUCUCUGGGGCGCAAUCGGUUAGCGCGUUCGGCUGUUAACCGGAAGGUUGGUGGUUCGAGCUCCACCCAGGGACC